rnacentral:lncRNA from 1 species
GUGAGACUAGAAGUAGGAAGAAUAUAAUUAGGAGACUGUAUCAACAAUUAGACAAAGCUAAAUGUUCUUCACCUUUUGGGGCCUUAGAUCCCUUUUUAGAAUCACAUAUGUAUAUACACACACAUAAUUCACACAUACUAUCAGAUGGUUCACAGAUCUCUUAAAGUGUGUGAAUUCCAGCAUGGAAUCCCCUCUGCAGUUAUGUUUGCCUGUGCAUCUCCGGCAGCUGGAGGACGAAUCACAUCAGGCUGAUGAGUGUGUCACGCUCUUCAUCCCCCAAGAGCUGUGAUGAAGACCAAGACAAACAGUAGAUUAACAGUGCUACCUUUUAUAAGGCUGAUUAGUUCCUAAAAUAUGCUGAAAGGAAACAAAACCAAAAAGAAAAAAGAGUGGAAAGGGGGGUGAGACAGAAACCUUUGUCGAGUCUCAUUCCAUCACCCAGGCUGGAGUGCAGCGGCGUGAUCUUGGCAACCUCCACCUCCCAGGCUCAAGAAAUCCUCCCACCUCAGCCUCCCAAUAGCUGGAUCUACAGGCGUACACCACCACAAUCAGCUGUAUUUUUUGUAGAGACUGGGUUUCGCCAUGUUGCCCAGGGUGGUCAUGAACUUGUGAGCUCAAGUGAUCUGCCCGCCUCAGCCUCCCAAAGUGCUGGGAUUACAGGCAUGAGCCACCGCCCCUGGCCUAAUAAAAUUUAUUUUUAAAAAAGGACCUAUGGCGAAUCAUUUUUACAAAUAAAAUCUAUAGUCAAGGUGCAGUAUGGGAACAGCAUUUUACUGAGUAAUCUUGCAAAGAAUAUGUCAUUAACCACUACACUAAUCUUGUUCUUGAUGUACACCAGCAACAAAUACAAAGAAAAAUUUAGUCUCUUACUUUAACAGGUUCCAAGUAUGCCACAUCGUAUUUUUUGCCAAAUAAUUUAUUAGUAAGAGGAGAUGACUCUAGUAAGUUAUAGAAGUUAUAUUGAAUUUUUAAAAAAAAUUUUUCAAAACUAUUCUGUGGGGAUUGAGGACAGAUGAACUACAAAGGAACAUGAUGGAACUUUCUGGGGUGAGCAUAAUGUUCUAUAUGAUGAUAGGGGCUUGGGUUACAUAAGUGAGCAUUUAUGAAAACUGUACACUUUUUGUGCAUUUCAUUGUGUAUAAAGUUUACUUCAAAAAAAACAUUGAACUCCAAUUAAUUACAUGCAUGCUGAACUAUUUAGAGUGAAGUAUACUGAUGCCUGUUGUUUACUUUGAAGUAUUUCAAAACAGUAAAAUGGAUAGAGGAAUGUGUAAUAAAUUGGUACACGAUAAGGAAAAUAUAGUCAAUUAUGUUAAUAGUAAAAUCUAGAUGGUGAGUAAACUGGUG